rnacentral:rRNA from 1 species
AUUGAACGCUGGCGGCAGGCCUAACACAUGCAAGUCGAACGAGUGGCGGACGGGUGAGUAAUGUCUGGGAAACUGCCUGAUGGAGGGGGAUAACUACUGGAAACGGUAGCUAAUACCGCAUACCAUCGGAUGUGCCCAGAUGGGAUUAGCUAGUGGGGGGGGUAAAGGCUCACCUAGGCGACGAUCCCUAGCUGGUCUGAGAGGAUGACCAGCCACACUGGAACUGAGACACGGGCCAGACGCCGACGGUAGGCAGCAGGGGGGAAUAUUGCACAAGGGGCGCAAGCCGGAUGCAGCCAUGCCGCGUGUAUGAAGAAGGCCUUCGGGUUGUAAAGUACUUUCAGCGGGGAGGCGUUACCCGCAGAAGAAGCACCGGCUAACUCCGUGCCAGCAGCCGCGGUAAUAC